rnacentral:rRNA from 1 species
UACGGGAGGCAGCAGUGGGGAAUAUUGCACAAUGGGCGCAAGCCUGAUGCAGCCAUGCCGCGUGUAUGAAAAAGGCCUUCGGGUUGUAAAGUACUUUCAGUCGUGAGGAAGGUGUUAAGGUUAAUAACCUUAGCAAUUGACGUUAGCGACAGAAGAAGCACCGGCUAACUCCGUGCCAGCAGCCGCGGUAAUACGGAGGGUGCGAGCGUUAAUCGGAAUUACUGGGCGUAAAGGGCACGCAGGCGGUUAAUUAAGUUGGAUGUGAAAUCCCCGGGCUUAACCUGGGAAUGGCAUUCAAGACUGGUUAGCUAGAGUCUUGUAGAGGGGGUAGAAUUCCAUGUGUAGCGGUGAAAUGCGUAGAGAUGUGGAGGAAUACCGGUGGCGAAGGCGGCCCCUGGACAAAGACUGACGCUCACGUGCGACGACGUCGGGUGGGACGAC